rnacentral:rRNA from 1 species
UACGAAGGGUGCAAGCGUUAAUCGGAAUUACUGGGCGUAAAGGGUGCGUAGGCGGUUCGUUAAGUCAGGGGUGAAAUCCCGGAGCUCAACUCCGGAACUGCCUUUGAUACUGGCGAUCUUGAGAUCGGAAGAGGUGAGUGGAAUUCCCAGUGUAGAGGUGAAAUUCGUAGAUAUUGGGAAGAACACCAGUGGCGAAGGCGGCUCACUGGUCCGAUACUGACGCUGAGGUGCGAAAGCGUGGGGAGCAAACAGG